CAGGAUUAGAUACCCUGGUAGUCCACGCCGUAAACGAUGUCGACUUGGAGGUUGUGCCCUUGAGGCGUGGCUUCCGGAGCUAACGCGUUAAGUCGACCGCCUGGGGAGUACGGCCGCAAGGUUAAAACUCAAAUGAAUUGACGGGGGCCCGCACAAGCGGUGGAGCAUGUGGUUUAAUUCGAUGCAACGCGAAGAACCUUACCUACUCUUGACAUCCAGAGAACUUAGCAGAGAUGCUUUGGUGCCUUCGGGAACUCUGAGACAGGUGCUGCAUGGCUGUCGUCAGCUCGUGUUGUGAAAUGUUGGGUUAAGUCCCGCAACGAGCGCAACCCUUAUCCUUUGUUGCCAGCGGUUAGGCCGGGAACUCAAAGGAGACUGCCAGUGAUAAACUGGAGGAAGGUGGGGAUGACGUCAAGUCAUCAUGGCCCUUACGAGUAGGGCUACACACGUGCUACAAUGGCGCAUACAAAGAGAAGCGACCUCGCGAGAGCAAGCGGACCUCAUAAAGUGCGUCGUAGUCCGGAUUGGAGUCUGCAACUCGACUCCAUGAAGUCGGAAUCGCUAGUAAUCGUGGAUCAGAAUGCCACGGUGAAUACGUUCCCGGGCCUUGUACACACCGCCCGUCACACCAUGGGAGUGGGUUGCAAAAGAAGUAGGUAGCUUAACCUUCGGGAGGGCGCUUACCACUUUGUGAUUCAUGAC
rnacentral:rRNA from 1 species